rnacentral:lncRNA from 9 species
AACAGUAUGGAGAGGCCUCAGAAAACUAAAAAUAGAACUACCAUUUGAUAAGUAUUUAUUUUUUAAAUUCCUGUUCAUAUAGUCCUUAGAUCAAAGAGAAGAUUUAUUCGAUAUGUGAAUAUUGAAAGAAUGAAAAUAUACAGAAGUCUGGGAACACGUUCUAUUGCUGCUCUAUAGCAAAGAGGUUUAAUAUCUCAGCCAGGAUCCCACUUACUAAGGAGAACGUAAUCAUGGCACCCUAUUGCCCACCCGUCUUUCUCUGGGAUUGUUCUCUGAAGUUUGCUAAGCAGAAUUAGCUGUUGAUUCAUUUAUGAUUUAUACUUUGAGAGAGUUUGGACUAGACACGUGUGUGCCUCUCUGUCUAGAUGCCAGAUUCCUUGAGGGGCUGGAUAUGUCUUUAUUCCUGGGCACUACGUACCUAGUAUGUGUGCUAUGAAGCAUGCUAUGACAGGGCACUGGGAGGUACCCUGUGCUUGAAAACACCAGAAUCAAGGCUGAAUAACACAAGAAAGGGGGUUUAAUGGAAAGAUCUUGAGUGGCUCCUGGAAUCAAAGGAAGAAUUGAACCACCAGGUCACAGGAAAGCAACAACCAGAGCAAUUGGCUGAGCUCCCUGUAAGGGCUCUUUGCCUCUCUCGGUUCGUCCAUCUGAUGAUGAACCUCCAGCUCCCUUCUUGACCUAGUCUUGGCUCAACAUUCAAAUGCCCAGAAGAAUCCGACUAGUCCACCUGGGGCACGCUGGCAUGAGCCACCUCUGGGACCACUGGCUCUACCACGUGGAAGGCCAAGAGACUGUUUCCCAAAGGAAAGUGGCAGGUACCAGAAGAAAGGGCAAAGAAAUUCUGGAUGGACCAAAGGUACCGACACCCUCUUCCGAAGUGCUCUGGCGUAAGACAAACAUGAGUUCAAAUCCUACCUUCCCCAUCCACGAGAAACCUCAGGCUGCAAAACAUGCUGACUAUAUAAAGCCAUUCUCAAAAUACAUGGUCAUUUUCUUGGGAGAAGGUUGGUGAUGGUGGAAUGUGGAUUGCCGUCAGUUAUGCUAACAUUUCGUCUAAUCCCUUCAAAAUUAAGUAAAUUAAAUGCUAAUAAAACUCUUUGACUGAGGUGUCUACCAGCCCCAUGAAAGUCUCUGAGGAAUUCCUCCAGCUGCAUUUGGGGUUCUAAUAGAGCACAAGAUUAUUUUCUCAAGUUUCAAGCUUAAAUAAGCUGAAGAUUUGGCUGGUUCCUGGUUGAGGUGGGGGGUGGUUGUGUGAGGAUAAAUGGAGCCAUUUUUGAAAACCGUGGCUAAUCAGACCAAAAUGAAUCACACAUUUAUUGGAAGGCUGGCCAUUGCGGAUACCUCUCUGUGUUUGUGUGUGGAGCACACAGAGCCCGUUUGGUGUCUUUUGUGAACUUCUUUAAGUCAGUAGUAAUUCCUUGUUAAAUAUCUGAAUCUUUGGGGAAUCAGGCUAUAAUCCAAAAUAAACUAACUUUGGAAAGUCCCGUGUAUCUGACUAUUACGGACUCUCGUGAAAUGGGUAGCUGGGUCAUUCGCAUUUCUAUGUGACGAAGUAACGGUUCCCCAGUGGCCAAGCUGAUUUUAAAUAGAAGCAUCUGAGGUAUUUUCUGAAGGCUUGAAAUACUUUUUUUUUUUUUUUUUUAAUAUUUGAAACAAAAUUGGUUUGGAGAAAACCUAAGACUGCCUACUAAAUAUUAAUAGAGGCGGAUAUUAGAAAAGGUUUGUGUGUUUAUGAAUUUGUUGCUUGUUAUUAUAUUUUUCAAGCCACCAUCAAAAUUGUUUUAAUGCCAUUACAUACAAAAACCCAACCCUAGUAAUAAAAUCGAUUGUGUAGAAAUAGCUCCUUCAUAUAGGUAUUCUCUGAGAAUACAUUUUUGAACAGCACUUUCUAAAAAUUCUAUUUCUGUGACCAGAAAUCACCAUCAAUGUCCAGAAGAUGAAAUUUCUGCUUGCCAAGGCUUCUGAUCACUCAAGAAGACGAUUUUUCUGGCUGAUCACAGAAAAUAUGGAAUAUAUUUAGUUGCGCAAGCUGAGUCUGUACUUUAGCCAUAGGGUGUGAGUUUGUAAGGAAGGUGGGGCUAAGUAAGUGGAGCAAUUACACCCACCCAGCUCUGUUCUGCUCUAAGGUUGGUCCUUUACAGAAACCAUGUGUUGUUAGCCCGAGUCUUCAUUACAGCGGCUGUUAGCCUGGUAAACAGUCAAAUAUGUUAUCUUUGUCCAUGGUUCUCCAUAUGAAGGCCAUUUUUUGUUAAUGGCCGAAAUAGUUGGACUGUACACAAUUCUUAGGCUGUCGGUAGUUUUACGCUAAAUGGAUUUGACUGUCGCAGAAACUGCUAUUCAGCAUUCUGGGUUAGGAGGCAAGAAGGAGCUGACAUAUUCAAUCCUAUUUAAGCAGGAUAAGAGCAAUACAAAUAAACUCUAGAGCAAUUUCAUCAGUUGGCUGCCUAGAAAUGAUGAUUAUGCCUUGUGUUUCUUGUGGGAGAUUCAUGGAUAAACCUCACACAUUUGUUUAAAAUUUUAGGGGUAAGUCCGAGUGGAAUUUUGCUCAAGAUAAAACUUGUACUUUGAUCUGUGGGGCAGGAAUAUGUAAGGCCUCCCUCCACCCCUUGAAUGUAGACAUUCAAGAGUUUGACGAGGAAAAUCAGAUGAAUUUUUGUUCACUGAAGAGACAGAGUAACAUCCAGCAAAACAUACCAGAAAGCCCUAGGUGGAACUUGGGUAUGUAUCAUGACAGCUUUGGGAUUCUUUAAAGCAUAUGUUGUGGUGCAGAAAUACCUCUGGAGAAUCUUACAGAGAACAAAAUUAUAUCAAAAAAUGUUCUUGGAUCACACAGCUACUGAGUUGCUUUUGUAAAUUCAAACGGUCUGUUGGGUGUCGAGUCCUUCAUCAGUGCUGCUAAUGUCAAUGUGUCAUUUCCACGUGACCAACCAGAAGGCACCCUCAAUCUUAAAUCACUGUUUUUGAUAGUUAUUGAGAAAUGUUGGUACAACGUUGAAACGGGAAAAUGUUUUAGUGGAGUAAGAAAUAAAAUGUUAUAAUAACCAAGACUUGGAAGCAACCAAAAUGUCCAGCCACAAAGGAGUGGACAAAGAAGAUGUGGUACAUCUAUACAAAGGAAUAUUACUCAGCCGUAAGAAAGCAUGAAAUCAUGCCAUUUGCAGCAACAUGGAUGGACCUAGAAAUGAUCAUAGUAAGGGAAGUCAGACAGAGAGAGACAAAUAUCAUGUGAGAUCACUAAUAUGUGGAAUCUAAGCGAAAUGAUCCAAAUAGAACCAACAAAGCAGAAACAGACCGAAAGAUUCUGAAACCAAGCUUAUGUUUAUCAAAGGGAAGACUGGGAGAGAGGAGUGACUAGGGGGCUGUGGUUGAUACAUACACACUACUAUACGUAAAACAGAUGGGUAACACGGACCCAGAAUAUGGCACAGGGGAAUUUACUCAGUACUGUGUAAUAACCUAUGAGGGAGGAGAGUCUGAGAAGGAAUGGAUAUAUGUACAUGCAUUUACGUUGCUAUACACCUGAAAUUAACAUAACUUUGUAAGUCAACUAUAUUCCAAUAAAAAUUAAAAAAAGAAGUCAAGUGUAUCUUAUCUUCCCUAGGGCUCUAUAAGCCAAUACAAAUACGAUAUACUUUAAAUUUUUAUUCUUAUUUAUUUAUUUAUUUACUUUUGGGGCCAUGGGUGCAGCAUAUGGAAAUUCCCAGGCGAGCGGUCUAAUCAGAG